GAAAAAUGAUGAUAUUUCAGUUGUGUCCUAUUUUUACAGUGAAGACCUCAGAUCCAACUCUGAUUUCACUCUAGUU
rnacentral:snoRNA from 1 species